rnacentral:rRNA from 1 species
UAGGGAAUCUUCCGCAAUGGACGCAAGUCUGACGGAGCAACGCCGCGUGAGUGAAGAAGGAUUUCGGUUCGUAAAACUCUGUUGUUAGAGAAGAACAGCGCAUAGAGUAACUGUUAUGCGUGUGACGGUAUCUAACCAGAAAGCCACGGCUAACUACGUGCCAGCAGCCGCGGUAAUACGUAGGUGGCAAGCGUUGUCCGGAUUUAUUGGGCGUAAAGCGAGCGCAGGCGGUCAAUUAAGUCUGAUGUGAAAGCCCCCGGCUCAACCGGGGAGGGUCAUUGGAAACUGGUUGACUUGAGGGCAGAAGAGGAGAGUGGAAUUCCAUGUGUAGCGGUGAAAUGCGUAGAUAUAUGGAGGAACACCAGUGGAGAAGGCGACUCUCUGGUCUGUAACUGACGCGGAGGUUCGAAAGCGUGGGUAGCAAACAGG